rnacentral:rRNA from 1 species
GAUGAACGCUGGCGGCGUGCCUAAUACAUGCAAGUCGAGCGAACGGACGAGAAGCUUGCUUCUCUGAUGUUAGCGGCGGACGGGUGAGUAACACGUGGAUAACCUACCUAUAAGACUGGGAUAACUUCGGGAAACCGGAGCUAAUACCGGAUAAUAUUUUGAACCGCAUGGUUCAAAAGUGAAAGACGGUCUUGGUGUCACUUAUAGAUGGUUCCGCGCUGCAUUAGCUAGUUGGUAAGGUAACGGCUUACCAAGGCAACGAUGCAUAGCCGACCUGAGAGGGUGAUCGGCCACACUGGAACUGAGACACGGUCCAGACUCCUACGGGAGGCAGCAGUAGGGAAUCUUCCGCAAUGGGCGAAAGCCUGACGGAGCAACGCCGCGUGAGUGAUGAAGGUCUUCGGAUCGUAAAACUCUGUUAUUAGGGAAGAACAUAUGUGUAAGUAACUGUGCACAUCUUGACGGUACCUAAACAGAAAGCCACGGCUAACUACGUG